rnacentral:rRNA from 1 species
AGCUUUAAACCCAACAACACCCGCCCCCCUCCAAAUCCUAUUAUUUACCCGGUGAUUGUUUGUUUGGUUUUAGGUUGGGGUGACCGCGGAGUAUAAGAUAUCCUCCAUGAAAAAAAGCUAACUGCCCUUAUUAGAGAAAGACACUUCCAAAAAAUAAUAAAUUAAUUUUAAAUGAUCCGACAUUCGAUCAACGAACCAAGUUACCCUGGGGAUAACAGCGCAAUCCGUCCCGAGAGCCCCUAUCGACAGGCGGGUUUACGACCUCGAUGUUGGAUCAGGGUAUCCCAGUGGUGCAGCAGCUACUAAAGGUUCGUUUGUUCAACGAUUAAAACCCU